rnacentral:siRNA from 1 species
UGCGUGCCUGGUUUGUGGGCCUGU